rnacentral:misc_RNA from 1 species
GCUCCGUCUAGGUUUAUAUACAACAUUUGUUUCUCGGAGAGAAGCUAUUGCAUGGAUUCCAUUCGAUUGUCGGUUUGAUCUCAUCAAACACCUCUUGUCCCAGCUAGCCAACGGUAGGGAGAGUGUGACAGCAAUGUUUAUACCUUGGAGGGGUCAUCGAUCUUCGGGAAGCUCUUGACGACCUUGAUGAUGCGUUCAGUGACCUCGCUCUUGUCCAGGAAAGAGCCCUUGGCAUCCUCCGAAGACAUCCACCGCUGCCCCCACAGGGCCUCAUGCAACGACGCCGUCGGCCUCACGGACGCCGCUGACGGGGCCGCCGCCAAGCGGAGGUGCCUCAGAAGCAGGCUCCUCGCCGCCGCCAUUCGCGCCUGGAUGAACUGGUUCUGUAGCCUCGGGAGGGGAUCGGAGGCGGCGGCUAGAGAAGGAAAUGGUUGUUGCGGCGGCGGAGCGGAGGCAGGAGAACAUGCGGGACUUUUCAGUCACUUUAGACCCUAUAUACAAGUCUAUGGGCCUAUUUAUUCUUGGCCCAGGU